rnacentral:rRNA from 1 species
UACGUAGGUGGCAAGCGUUGUCCGGAUUUAUUGGGUUUAAAGGGUGCGUAGGCGGCCCUGUAAGUCAGUGGUGAAAUACUCCAGCUUGACUGGAGGGGUGCCAUUGAUACUGCAGGGCUUGAGUGGAGUCGAAGUAGGCGGAAUUGACGGUGUAGCGGUGAAAUGCUUAGAUAUCGUCAAGAACACCGAUAGUGAAGACAGCUUACUAGGCUUCUACUGACGCUGAGGCACGAAAGCUAGGGUAGCGAACGGG